UCCAUGGUGGCUCAGAGGUUAAAGCGUCUGCCUGCAAGGCUGAAGACCCGGGUUCAAUCCCUGGGUCAGGAA
rfam:Ovis aries breed Texel chromosome 5, whole genome shotgun sequence.